rnacentral:lncRNA from 1 species
ACAAUAAAAAUGUAUAUUAAAUCUAUUAAAAAUAUGUAUCCAUACCAAUCAAUAAAUUCAUACACAAAAUACAUAAUUAUUGAACCGAUAUAAUUUCUCAACGAUACAUACAUCAAUAGAUACCCAUCGGAUCAAAUGCGCAAAUCAAGACACAAAUUAUGCACAUAAUAUAUAGGCUCAAUCAAAAUCAUGUGAUAUCUAAUAUCAUAUGCAAUCGUACAAUUCAUAUUGCUUUCUAGUUUCAACCAAAGCUAAGACUACACAUAUCUAGUUGAAAUAAUAUUCUACAAGGCUGACAAAAACUUAUAGUCAAUCACACACCAAGAAUUAUCCAGAAACGUGUAUCUUUUUCCUGUCAAAUGAUUCAACAAAAAAGGAAAACCAAACCCGUUUUUUCAGUUCUUCCUCACAAUCAAAUUCACAACAGAUUGAAUCCUUGCUUCCACUCCCUGUCAAAAACACCAAAACCCAAACACACAGUUAGGAUCAUCCAUUGCAAUCAACACACACAAAAAAGGGCAAACAAAACACCCUUGAUAGACCCUUCUGCCUGCUUCAUCAUCAUUGAGUGGAUUUCCAAAUCACACACACACACACACAAAAAAAAAAAAAAUGAUUUCUUCUUUAUUUUACCUAUCAAAUAUCAAAACCAAAUACAAAUUCCUUCCAUUGAUUUCUAUCAAACAGUCAAAUAAAAAGAGAAAGGAAAAGAACCUGUUACCGAUCGGAGCAACACCCCUCACAACCGUUCCUCCCCUUCCGUCGAACAAACCCACCGAGGACCCCGACUCCUUCGCUGUUACCGCUGCUUGCGACGCCCGACUUCACACCUCGCAGCCGGACGAGAAGAGGGCAGCUUCGCUGCUCUUCCCUCCGUCACUGCGGCCUCGUCAAACCUCGAAGACAACUCUCUCGUCGCCGAUCACUCCCUCUCCUUCAAACCUAGCAGCCGACCGAGACCACAGCAUCCUCGCUGCUUUCCCCUUUCCCUCUCUCCGGCCCCGUCGAUCCCCGGAAACACUUCCUUCGCAAGAAAUCAACCCCAAAACCCCCGGAUUAGCCGCCUGUGAGCUUCCUCUUGCUUCGGUCUUCUUCGUGGUCUGCGAAAACCGAGGAACCGGAAGCAGCACCGACGAGCCUUCGCUUUACUCUCUCUUCGUUGGUCUGAUUGCAGACGUUCUUCCCUUGCACGUUCAACAAAGACGACGGCAUGCGAUUUAACCCUAAUCCAUUUUAAAAUCUUUUUAAAAUGCCUAAACUACACCCCACUAUUAAACCUUUAUUCAAAAUCAGUCCUAAUCCCCAAAUAAUAAUCCCAUUUAUUC